UGGGAANCUUGUUGAGUUAGAGCGUCUCU
rnacentral:piRNA from 1 species